GGGAACUUGAUAGAGCAUUUAUCCAUAUAGUAUUUUGAGCCUUUUUUCAUCACAAAUUAACUUAAGACCACAACCUUUAAUUCCUACUAUGAUACAUUUUACAACACUUAUCCUUAUUUUGCAUAUUUGGUGCGUUUAGACACUCAAACAAUAGCAAUAGUUCAACCAACCCCAAACUAGGGAUCAUCUUGUGUGAGAAGACAGAAUGGGAAGGGCCAAAUUGAGAAGAACCAAAGACUGGUGCACCCAACCGGAGAGAGGCUGGAGCUGGCGCGACCGACCAGACAGCUAGCGGUGGGCGUCUGAUCCCACGCGUGGCUCAUCUCACGGGAAAACAGAGGAUGGGGGUCAAAGGAAAAGCGGGAGGGGGCGACUUCGUUCUCUCCUUCUCCUCGAUGCUUGCCCACUACACCAGAUCGAAGGGGAGAGGGAAGAGAGUUACGCCUCCCACCAGACAGACUGGCGGCGGUGGCGGCCGAUCCACCGCGAGGCCGUCCCCUCCUGACGGCGCGCUUCACCAGACAGGGAGGCAGGGGAGUCUGAACCCUCGCGCCACCUCCCUGCCGCCCCUGGUCGACGACCGCCGCUGAUCUUCUCCAACUCCGACGACCGCCGUUGAUCUUCUCCAACCCCAACGACCGCUGCGACCUCUCCUCGAUACCAACAUCGGGGCCCUUCACCAAGUUCUUCACCACGCUGAUCUUCCCCAAGGAUCCUCUACUGCUUCUCUUCUUCAAGGAUUACGCAGAAGACCUCAAGCUUUUCCUGCUACGGAUCAUCUCCAACUCGUUCCUGCUGCUCUUCUUUGCCUGCAACAUCUACAGCUUAGGAGACAACUCUGAAUCUCUCUUUUCUUACUGUAGUUCUCUGAACUUUGUCCUGAUUGCUAUGCAGUUUGUAGUCUGAAUCUCAGUUAACUGUUGAUGUACCCAUGAGAAAACUAGGUAGUUCAACUUGUGAUAUUGAUCUGCUAUAUGUGAUGUUUGUGGCAGUUCCCUCAUCUACUUUAUGCUACUGUUUGUUGGCUGUUUAGAUUACACACAAAACCACCAUUAAAAGACAUUCUCUCAUCCCUUACCUGUGCUGCUAGUUCUUCUAUUUUGUGCUCUAGUAUUCUGCAUGUAAUUCGUGUGAAGGUUCAGUUAAGCUUAGUGUUCUGUUUAGUAUUCAGUUCUGCGACUCUCGGUUCGUGCAUCGACGGUACAAAUUAGUAUCAAUCCAAAUUUAUUUUGUUUGCGAAAUCCUGUACCAAUUGUCUAGCCUAGCUUUAGCCGAGCAUCAUCGCUGAUCGUCUAGUCCCUAAGGAAAAACGACAUCCGUUGUUUGUGGUAGAUUUACUCCGCUAUAAUUACAGUUGAUCAGGUAGGCGGAGAAGUUCCGCCUAGUCGGUUCGACAGAGAGGCGAGAAGAUGAGGGAGUAGACUGCUGCAAACGUAGGGUUGUGUGAUUUGACAGCUCGUUAGUGCUGGACAGGUGGGGCCCUAUGAUUUGACUUUCCAUUAUCAUUAUUGUUGUGGUGCUACGACCGAGGUGAGUCUCCCGUGACCGCCUCUGUGGUAUACAGGUGCUAAGACCAAGUACUCUACAAUAAUGGGCUUAUAGCCCUCUUACAUGGCACUUUUGCUUAUUAUGUCGGGGGGAGAGACAUGGGCAAUAUGGUGGGAGCGGGCUCUUGUGCGACACCCUAGCUACUUACUCCUGGGCAAAUGCAAUAAAUACUAUGAAGAAAGAGAUAGAAAGAAGUAAAAAACUCUUUUAGCCAACCUUGUUGUAUGAGUGACUAUAAGUGAUGACUAUGUAUGACAUGCCAACAUCAGAUAACCUAACGCACCUGGACGGAGGAAGUAGUUUCAUGCAUGCGAAGUAGGCAAAACAAUGCUCAUUUAUAGCCAUCUCAAAUCUCCAAGGGCGUGACCGCGCGAGCGAGUCGAUGGUCGUGCUAGGCGCGACCAUGAUACGGGCUGCUGACAACCCUUGGAUCUGAGAUCGAACGGUCGCAUACUAAAUUGCUGAAAAUUUGCAGAAUAACCCUUCAGGAUAGGAUAUUCACCCAUAGGUCUAGAAUCACGCCAUGCAACCAUUCGAUCUCAGAUCCAAGGGCUCUCGGAAGCCUGUAUCAUGGGAGCAUGGAAAGCUUCGUAUCACAUGUAAUUGUCCCGAUGCUUGACGUGCGAACACGCAGAUGCAUGAAACCAUUUAAUUGGGCGUCUAGUAGACAUGACAUCUAAUUGGACCCCCAUAGUACUGUGCAUGAAGACACUUAUCGACCCGGCAAGCCACUACCCUACCGUUCGCAUGCCCCACUCAGCAUUUUUACAAGCGGAAAAUCGCUAGCAGUUCGCUCCUACUCGUCCCCGGCUGUCCUUUAACAUUACGGCAGUUUGCUCCUAGUCAUCCCGUCCUUUCACAUUACAACAGUUCCACUAAUCCUAACCUUCCUCCCAAAUCCAUGGCGUCCCAAAUCUCCAUGAUCGGCGGUGAGUACAAGGUUAGAAUCAUCAUCGGCGAUGAGUUUGACGUCAUCUACACCCGUUCUUCCACGACAGUGAAAGGAUGCCUUGCUAGCUUCAGACGCAUGUUCAAAAAGUCAAAUGGUGAUGAGUGGGUCGCUGGGCUAAAUGUUGAGUAAACCACAAUCCUGGGAAAAGAGAAGAAUCUAAAGGAGGAAGAGAGGAAGAAGCCCGCCGUGAUCUAGGUUUGCAUGCAUAACUUGUGCUUGGUCUUUAUGAGAUGUCCCGAAAUAGUUGGAACUAUAGAUGAUAAUAAAGCUGAAGUAUCUAAUCGAUAUGUCAGGAAUAAAGAAGAUACAUAAUCAGCUAGCAUAUAAUAUUGAAGCUUACAUAAAUGGCACAAAAUAUAUAAUAGAUGAAAUUACAAUAAGAGAUUUGUCAGUAAUAAAUGAUGACAUGCUAAUAGGGUUAAGAUUUUUACAACAAUCUUUACAACACCAAACGGAGGAGAACCACCACAUAUGCCAUGCCGACGUUGAGUGCGAGGAUUUUAAGAAUUUCCUCGUGGGCGGCAAAGUCAAAUUCGUUACUCUAGACUUUACGAACGACAGAAGAGUCCUGAAUCGGACAGGCCACGUUGUAGGCCAGCCCUUCAACCUCCAGAAGAAUGGGCUGGUGUCCUCCCGUCAGCCUUCAAUGCUGACCCUAGCAGGAGCGAUGGUUGAUCCUUCGUAUGGUAAACUAAUGAAACCUCCGUCCGAGUUUCAUCUUGCAUGGCAGUGGAAUGUACUAGAUAGAGACCACAUCCAGUACGCUGCCAUGGAUUCCUACCUUUGUUUCAAUAUCUACAAGGGUUGUAUGAAGAGCGAGAGCCAAGUGUGCGGUUCAAGCCAAGAAGUAUCGGCCAAGAGGAAGAGGGACAAGGACGAAGUCGAGCACGUGGACAAGGAAUCCGAGCAAGGUGGCAGUGUCGUUGCUCAUGGUGGUUCUAAUGCAGUGUCUACCAGAUUAGUUGCUUGGUUUAAUUUCAAGGUGCUUAGUUUUAUUUGAGGGGUGUGUUGUGCUGAGCCCCCAGCAGAACUAUGUUAUGUUCCUUCUCGUUACUUUAACUCUUUAGUACAUACAUACUAGUAUUUCUUACAGUUCAUCUUGUAGUUAGUAGUACUACCACUCGUUUCUUCAUAUCAUACGUACUAUAUAUGAUAUGGCCAACAUCAUAUUGGCUAUACUAUAACCACACUCGAAGCAUGGCACAUACGCAAAACACUUAAAUGAGAUAAGUAAUUUAAAAAAACUUAAAUGAGAGAAGUUUACCCAAAGCAUGAAGGAGUUUAGUUGUCAAAGAAUUAAAUGGGUAUGCUAAUUUCUUUAAUAGACUUUAGCACCCCAUCUAAGCACGUACUAGCUUUUUUAAUAGUACCAUAUGCAUAAUUUGGCGACGAGCGCUCUCUAUAUGUACCACCUUUUUUCUUUAAUUUCAUUUUGUUAGUUUUGCUCCAUGGCGCAAUCCAUCGAUUCCACUACUGUACAAAAGUGCAUUUAAAAGGCUAGAGGGCAGGGCAGUCUCGCUUGGUCAGUUUCACAAGAGGCGAGGGCCUUUGUGAUUUGACGGCUCAUUACUGCUGGAAGGUGGGGCCUUGUGAUUUGACUGCUCGUAUAAAUGUUGCCGACGACCUGAGAAGGAGUAAAGAACUGUGCGGUAUACUCAAGUUUCCCAUUGGAGUACUAGUACGACGAAGGAGCGCGAAACACAAUAGCCCAGUGCGAUAUGGCGAUAAAAAUGAUCUAAUUUGCUAGCCAUCGAUCCCACAACGCCGCUCAUCGUUAGCAUUGUUCUAUUCGUGCCUCGCAGAGAACAUGACACAUGCGGCAAAACACCCGAAGCAAAAGAAGAAACACAGGAGCAAAGAGAAGAAGGGAGAUUACCACCCCCUCCCCCCCAAAAAAAGAAGGAAGACGCAAACACAAGUCUGGGGCGCUGCUCUACUUCAUGAAGAGUUAAACGCGGAGUCCUAACUGCUUCUUCAUCGCCUCCACGACCUUCAUCUCCUUGCUCGUCUCCUCCACCAUCUUCUUCAUUCUAUCCAUGACGCGGGAUUUCUCGAGGCGAGCAUUCAUCAUCUGUUCCACGGCCGCAUUGCGUAUCUUGACAGCAGCCGGGUGCUCACUGCGGUGCUUCGCCAACUCCUCCUUAUGUUCCAUGACGAUGGCGUGCAACAUCUUCACCAAGGAACUACUCUUCUCAUGCAGCUUCUUCCAGCCGGCGUUCUCCUCCUUCUGCAGGUCAAGCUCGUGGUGGAGCUUUGCCUUGUCCUCCUGAAGUUGCAGGAUUUCGUCGGUCGCCUUCUUACCCGAGGCAAUGCUCUCCUUCAGCAGCAUCACCAAGCCGGCGGUCAACUCCUCCUUCUUAUUGAGCUCAGUGGGCAUGUCAUCGAGGCUCUCCUUCAAUAGCUCCACCAAGCCGUCGAUGAACUCCUUCUGCUUAUUGAGAUGAUCGGGCAUGUCGUCGAGGGAUAACGACUCCAGCACCCCCAGCUCGGCAUGUUCGCCUCCGCGACUAGGGCGCUCGUGGGAGCCCUCGCCUACCCAUGAGAGAUCUUUUGAGAUCUCUGCGAGGCGGCGAGCCCUCUCUUUUUUUUUCCGCGGCCUAUGUCGCCGCUCCCUUGUUACGAGUAGUUCUCGACCUAGAGCUCUCCACGCCGGCCAUGGCAAGGAUGGACGAACAAGAAAGACUUAUGAGGAGGAAGGUAGAGAAAUUUUCGGCUAGGUAGUUCCCCUUUUUAACCUAGUGCUAGCACUACUAAAACCUGCAUAGUGGGAACACGUUCAGGUUUGAUAUGUACUAGUUGUGAGCAGGUCUGCACUUAAUUAUAGCGUGGUAAACUACUUUGGAAUGUGAUGGGAACAAGCUAAAGAUUAAUUGAUGGUUUUGGUUUCGAGGCCCGAAAGGGCUCCCGAUGAGUUUCCUAGAACACAAAUUUCAAGUACUACUGCUCAAAUGUGGUCGCACAAGUCAGUGAUGUAACUGGUAGUACAUACCAGACCAAGCCGAUUCGUGUCCCUUCGGUGAGACACGGGUCCAACCGACCGUCUGUUGGUGCGAUCCACCAUAAGUAUUACGCGAUGGAGACUUGUGGUUGUUGCUUCGGGUGAUUGUCACGACCAAGCAUUCAAAAACUAGUGAUAAAUCAAUACAAUACAAUACAAUACAUAUAGAUGGAGUGACUGUCACGGUUGCAAACCGCCAUGGCGACGCAAGUUCACUGCAGCAGUAACCAAGUAGGUCACUGCAUCGCUGGCGGGGAAGGAGGGCAGCUCACCUCGCCUAUGAUGCAUGCCUAGCGGCGCCGCCACACCUGGUCCCGCAAUUUGGCUUCUCCUACCGUCCAUUUGAAAAGUUGCACCGGCUACUCAUGCCCUUCCGCAGGCAUGCGCGUUCUUUCCUCUGCAGUCGACUCCGUGAAUAUGAUCACUAACAUUAGCCCUAGCUCAAAAUCAACUCGACGCUGCCAGAUGCUGACAUCCCUCAACAUCUCUCCCCUCAGAUCAACUUGCGUCUCCGCCUUGUGCUUCGCCAGGUGCAGCUCCUUCGAACUUGUCUCCAAUCGAUGCGACGGUUCCUCGAUCCGAUUUUCCCUUGCUGCCCACCACCUAAAACGCAGCCCUGGCAUGUCCUCCUGCGCCACCGAACUGUAGUUCCAGAGCAAUGGAUCCCCUCUGAAACACAUGUGGGUUUCGCUCAAAGACGGCAGUGUUGCGGGCCGUAGCGAGAGGGCAGCCCACGGGAUCUUGGGGUCUAAGGGAUUAUCCAUGGCGGGAUCCGGUGGGCGAGGCGGGGAGGCGAGCGUAGGCGCUAGGAGAGCCCUACGAGGCUGAGAUGAAGAUAGUACUACUCCUCUCUGUCCAACAGUAGCCUAGGAAAAAAUUGAUCAUGCUGCCUUCGUCCUGGUUUAUUGGCCCCCUUUUUAUUUUGUGCCAAUUUUUGACCAAAAAUUUAACUAAGAAAAUGUUAAUGCAUGUCACCAAAAAUUAUAUCAUUGGAAUCACAUUUGAACAUAGUUUCCGAUGAUAUUACUUUUUAUGACAUGCAUAAAUAUUAUGUUACUUAAAAUAUGGUAAAAAAUUGGCACAAAAUACGAAGGAGAUCAAUGGAAGUAGAAACCCAUGAUUUCACUACUCGCAUGCACGCAGUGAAGUAGUAAUGUCAUUCUCAACUACUUCCUCCCUCACGUCUACUCAAUUUGCAUGCGAUGUAAUAAUUGACCAUCAAUUAAGUGAACGACUUUACACCCGUCAAAUUAUCACGUGGGGUGGAUCUUCGUACAAAAAUGCAUCCAACCGUGUACCUGCGUGUGCGUGUGAGGGAAUGAGUGCGUGCGUGCACAUGUUCGCUUUGUGCACGUACUACCAGUGUGCGUGAGAGAGGACGAGUACAUUCUUCUAGAACCAGCAGCACGUCACUCUGAUCAAUCCACACAAGAAUGUCACGACAACGCCUCCCCAUGUUCCACGUGGCUUCAUUGAUGCCCCCACAUCAUUUUAAUCAUAAUAUACUAAAUAAAAAAGGGAGAGACAUUGUGUAGCGUGCCAUUGGAAUUCUAAUUUUACGUGUUUUGCACAUACUGGAAGUACUAGUAAGGUACAUGUGCAUUGCACGCAUGAGAUUUAGCAACCAAAUUAUGAAUAAACACCACACUAUAGCAUGUAAGCUUUGAGUCAUAUAUGCAUGAUGUAGAUGUUCUUUAAUUCUUAUAGUUCAUCCCAUUCAAAACCAAUUAGUUUUUAUAAAAAGUUAAUCUAUUUUAAGAUUCAUGGAAUUGUGCAUUGUAAAGCAUAAAGUAAAAACAAAUAAUGGCAAUUCAUCUAAAAAAAUUGGGCAAUUAUGAUAGGGAAGAUUCUAGAACAAAGUAGAAGUGCUUGUGUUUUGAAGUUUGUGCAUUAUGCUUAAGUUUAACCAUGGAGUAUUAUAGAUUAUACAUGUGGCAGAAUCUGGUGGAAUGUAGAUGAUAUCCAACGGCCGGUAGUGCUCGGAUUUGCCAUCUCUGCACCAUCGGAUUGGCUUCAUCCAACGACUAUCUUUCAAAGUUAUUCGCACACUGUAUAGGGGUAUAGAUAUAGAUAUAUCACUACUGCAGGAUGGUCCAAACGCGACACUACGAUCAUAGACCCUUCGACGAAACUGUGUGCGAUGCCAUAAUCGCAAACGGUGGUGUAAAAAACCCAUCAAAAAAGGUGCAAAACGUUUGCGAUGAUGCAUCGAACACGGUUCAGAUUUUAGUUGCGUGUGCGAUGCAGGGCAUAUGGUUCAGUUCAAUUAACUGUUUGGGAUGAGGAGGAACAAAAGAAACGGGCAGCCAGAUGAAGGUGUGUGCGAUAUACAGCAUACGGUUCACUAGGAUGAACUGUGUGUGAUUAGGCAACACAAUGGAAACGGUUCAACUGAACAAGAUGUGUGUGAUAUGCGGCAAACAGGUCCGUAAUCAGAAAUGUGUGCGAAGACCAAUAAUAACACAGACGAUUGUUGCUAAUAAGCCGUGUGAUUUGCUCUGUCUAUAGAAGAAUAACAUGUAUGUAUGUAUAUAACUGAAAUAAACAUCCAAUUACAUAAGUGACUAUACAAAUCAUUCGCACACACCUCAAUAAACAAUUGCAUGCAUCCUAAAGUAGGACAAACGAUCGUCUAGUCAUCUACUUGUGACGCUCCCGCCACUGCUCUGUGGCUCGAUCCCUCGUUUGGGGCAGGAAGAAGACACUUCCUCAUGUCAACGAUUCGCCUGUACAUCUCGUAGCUUGUGUACGCGUCCUUGGCCGCGAACUUGACAUGUUGUUCAUCCAGUCUCUCAAGCCACACACUGUGCCAGGCGUUCCUGUCCUUCUUGCUCUCAUUCUUCAUCUUCAUGUAGUAGGGGUCGAUGAUGGCCGAGGCGAGGUCAACCAGGGAAUUUAGUUUGUUUUUGUUGCUACCCCAAACCUUGUAGUGGUGCUGGAUGUUGACAAGAUUUGGGCUCAAGCCCGAAACCUUGAGCGCUUUUAGAUCGUUGGUGGUGUCCAUCAUAGCGAAACUGUAGUCGGAGCUGUUGAUAAACUUGGAGAAACGGUCGCAAGGCCUUGUGGCAAGGUGGUAGUGGUAGACGAGGAUGUCAUGUCGCACGCACAACUGGGCAACGGCAACCUUCUGAUCAUGCCCGGCAUGACCGAUGGUGUACUCGAGGUCGAAGCCGACCACUUGGUACUUGUCCUCGGCAAGGAACUACUCCAUAGUUUGGAUGGAGCUCUCCACCGAGACUGGAUCGUUCGUGUACACCACCGAGAGGGCCUUCCCCCUCACGUGGGUGUCCACUACGUGAUGCGUGGUGGACUGCCCGUUGUUGUCGUCGUCGGCCGCUGGGAGCGCCAUUGGAACCGCUGGAUGUCCUCUCUAUAUGUGUUGUCGUGGGUGUGCUUAUUGUGUCGUGUGACGUGAGAGAUGAAGGUAAAUGGCUGCAGGAAUAAAUGGGGGCCGGGCGGCCUGGAUUCUCUGCGCGUCCACUUGGCAGUUUUGCAGCAGGUAACUGCAUUGUCGCGCCGCGCCCGGCGCAACCGCAUGCACACGAACGUGCGUGAUCGUGCGCCGGCCCCAAACACUGGCAGCGCGCGUGGAGGGAUGAGGGUAGAGCACUCGGAGGGACGCGAGAGCAGAGCGCGCGCGGCGGGAUGCGAGCAGAGCGCGCCGCGGCCGCCUGAACCGCAAGCAACCACACGCAUAGAGCAGUUGAACACGCAGGAAAUGGUCGCUUACAAGCCGGCCGACAGUUGCAUCGCUGCGUAGAGAGCGGUCGUGUGCUACUACCUCCGUCUAGACUAUAGUCCCCUUUAUAUUCUGUGUCAUACUUUGCCCUGAAAUUUAACCAACAAAAUGUUAAUGCAUGCUGUUAUAAAAAUUAUAUAAUUGGAAACUAUGUUCAAAUACGAAUCCAACUAUAUAAUCUUUGGCGACAUGCAUUCGUAUGUUAUUAGUUAAAUCAUACUUAUAAACAAUGAUGGGGGUAUAGUAGGUAAUUAAAUCACAAAUGUUUUUUAUUAACCGUAUGUACGUGGCAUUUCGUCCUCCUCUCACACGUCUUGUCACCCCGCUGCCGUAGACGGCUUACAGCAGAAGCUUGCGCAGCGCACGGGGGCGUUCUUUUGCCCAAAUGGUGACGCCAAUGAAUCAUCGGUGAGCCUGUUCCCGCGCAACCUUGUAGGUUCCCGCGCAAGCUUCGCGCCCGACUCGGUGAAAUCCUCCAAAAUCCCAAUGCUUACCGGCCUGCUAUAUAAACCCUCACGGACGGCGAGUCCUGCGUCGCAUUUUCCCCUCCCUCCAUGUAGCUUAUCUCGUCUGCUUCUCCCACAAUCUCCAAUGGCACUGGUCCGUCGUCGUCGCUCAGCCACUCCGCCGUUAUCAGAGGACAGCUCCAGCUGGGAGGCUACACCGCGGCGGUGGCGCAGUCCCCGGUGUAGUGUAGUGCGCGUGGCGUCCCUGUUGGGUGUGCGCGGAACACCCACCACACACUCCGCCGCCGCUACCCGUCGGCAGCUGUUGCCGUCCGCCGUUGCCACCAUACCACCCUCGAAAGCCAGGGCCAUCGCCCGCUCCACCGCCGCGGCCUGAAGGCGGGAGGUGGCCGUCGUGGCUGCCACCCCACUGCUGGCCACCGUGGCCAUCACCCGCUCCGCCACCGCGGCCCGAAGGCGGGAGGUGGUGGUCGUGGCCGCCACCCCAUCGUCAGCCGUCGUGGCCGCCAGCACACCAUCGAUCACCAGGGUCAUCACCCGCUCCGCCACCGUCGCUCGAAGGCGGGAGGCGGAGGUGGAUGCCCGCACGUGCGUCUGCAACCUUGCGCGCUACACCGAGUUCCUGCGGGAGGAGGAGGAGCGCCUCGUCGAGCAUGCAAAGAGCCUUACCGCCACCAUGGCCGCGGCACACGCCGCCUCAGAAGCGAGGAAUCAGGAGAUCUACAAGGAGAACCACCGCUUCGAGAGGGUUCGUCUGGAGCGGCAGAGGGCGUUCGAGGUGAGCGUCGCUGAAGCUGCAGCAGCGGCAGGCACAGUAUUGCGGUUGCCAAGCUCGUCGGUAGGCUCCUCCUCCUCUCCCUCUUACUAAGCGCGCUCGGCAGAGGAGAGGCAGCCGGAAGUAGUACAAAACCCCUCCGUAGUAGUAGUAUUUAGGGGCUAUUUGUUCAGUUCAUCUGACUAUAGAUGUGGUGGAAUUGUACAACGUACUUAAAAUUAGCUAGUAUAUAUAGUUGAACUAGCUAUUUCAGUACGUGGUUGGCAACAAUUGGGGAAAAGUUUGGUCAGUUCAGCUGUCGAGUUAAACUGUUUGUAUAAAUUAAGAACGACUGCUUAAUCUAUGAAUGAAAUCUAUGCUUAAUUACUGAAUUUUACUUGCAAAAAUUAGAUACUGCUAGUGAUUUUUAGCUUCAUAUUUUGACAAAUUGCAGUGUUACAAGGUUGACAAAUGGCAAUGUUACUAGAUCAACAAAUGUCAAUCUUUUUAGUUUGACAAAUGGCAACAUACGCAAUAUGACAGAUGCAAAUCUUACCAAAUUGUUUGUAAGUUAUUGCACACAGGUCAUCCAAAAGAACCAUUUGCGUUGAAGAGAUGCACAAAUCCUGCUCUCACUUUGCAUACAGGUGUUCUAUCUAAAACGUUUGCGAUCAAGUGCUGCACAAAUCCUGCUCGGCACAUUUUCCCUUGGCUUCCUGGGGAAGCUGUCGGUUUGCAUACGGGUGUUCUAACUAAAACGUUUGCGAUGAGUGUUUUAUAUUUAAAAACCAUUGAUGUUUUUUUCAAAAGAAAAUCGUUUGAUAAGUCUGCACAUUAAGAGAGAAAAACGCAAGUUCGCUCAAACCAUAUCUUUCAUUCAUUCAUACUACAAAUUAAUAUUCAUAUGAUCGAGAUACAAUGUUAAACCGAAGAAACUAUUUCCGAUGGCGGCGGAGGCGGCGUGUCGCGCCGUAGUUGUCAUUGUCGUCCUCCGGGACGCCGUUGUUGAAGUCUUCAAUGCAGCACAGAAUGCUCUUCACUUGUAAAUCAAACAUCAUGUCAUCGCGCGAUCUACGGGCGGGGCGCGGGAGGACAGCAGCUGGUGGCGCUGAGAGGUAGCGGUUGACGGCGGCGUCCCAUGCCGCUGAGGGGGACGCAUGCACGGGCACGUGCGCUGCGGGUGCAGCCAAACGCACAGGGACCGGCGCCGCGGUGGGUGGAGGGGCGCGCAUGGGCACCGGCACGGGCUCUUGCGCUGGCAUGUACACGAGCUCGCGCGGGUCCGCGGAGACCUCGCUGAUGCUCGUGGCUUACAGCUCUGCGAUAGUGCUCGGCGACCAGCCCGUCAAUGCUACGGGGAUGGUCGCUGGAGCGGGCGCGGGGAUGGGAGCUAGGAUGGGAGUGGGGGCAGCAACCGCCGCGGCCAGCUCAUUCUGGGCCAUGUCCAUGAGGCCCAAUUCCUCCUUAUUUUCUAUCUCCUCCGGCUCGGAGUCGACUUCACCAAACUUGAAGACUAGUGGCAGAUGAUCCUUCUGCGCCAUGGCGUUGGUGGAGGUCUGCGGGAGGGAGGGGAAUGGGAGGCGAACAGUAAGGCUGCCCGUAUUAAUGGAGAGGAAGGUGGGCGGCCAUGGAAGUCAAAGGGCUUGCUUCCCAGUGAGCCCACGCAGCGUACAACUCGCACGCUUCCCGAUGAGCCUCUGCACUGAAGGACAGCUUGCACGCCUCUCGGUCAGCCUGCGCACCGGACUGCGCUCGCACGCCUCCCGUUCAGUCAAGGUCAAGCAGCUGUCCACACGGCACCUCCUAUAGCCAUUAAAAUCAAGACACAUGGCGUCACGUAAUGGUUAACAGAACACACACUGUUUGAAUCAUAAAACGUUUGAGAUAUUAAAGUGGCAGCUAUUUUUCAAAAUGCCUUUGUUGGCUGUUAUUCGAGUGCCCCUUCUCUCAAAAUGGACACGAAAAAUACCACAGCAUGUCAGGUGCCAUGUCAUGAUAGCAUGCCAAGUUUUAAGAAUUUCAGACGAGUUUUGGAUUUACUAGAAUUUAAAAACAAAGUAUCUCAACGUUUUGCCGGCAAUCAACGGUGCCCUAUUGUUUGAAAUUCAUUCCCAUUUCUUGCAUGGAACCUAAGCAUGCACCCAAGGACACAUAUUUGAUUUUUUAACCAAUUUAUAUGCACUGGAGCAUGUGCAUGUAGUUCAAAUUUGAAUUAUGCAUAUAAAUGAAUUGAAAACUCAGUUAAUGCAUAAAAAUGUCCAAAUGAACCCCGAAAAAUCACAACAAUUGACACAACACUCCUUUUGUUCUAUGUUGACACGAGAAUUUUUUUGAAAGCAAUAAGAGGCAAGGGAUAUCGUUUCGUCCCCAAAGGUGGGGCGUUCCCUACCGAAACCAGCAUGCUUGUUGUGAGAAGCUCUGGUUUGUGAGAAGCAUAUACCCUCACCUGUCCCAAAUGGGACAAAAAAUUUACCACGGCAUGUUGGUGCCGCUCCAUGAUAGCAUGCCAAGUUUCAUGAAUUUCAGACGAGUUUUGGAUUUACUAGAAUUUAAAAACCAGGUAUCUCAAUGUUUGCGGCCGAGUGACGGUGGCAGGGUGUUUGGCAUCCAUUCCUACUUCUUGCAUGGGACCUAAGCAUGCAACCAAGAACACGAAUUUUCAACCAAUUUAUAUGCAUUAGUGCAUGUGCAUGUAGUUCAAAUUUGAAUUAUGCACAUGAAUGCAUUGAAAACUCAGUUAAUGCAUAAGAAUGUCCAAACGAACCCCGAAAAAUCACAAAAAUUGACACAACACUCCUGUUGUUCUAGUUGACACGAGAAUUUUUUUGAAAGCAAUAAGAGGCAAUGGAUAUCGUUUCGUCCCCAAAGGUGGGACGUUUCCUACCGAAACCAUCAUGUUUGUUGUGAGAACCUCUGGUUUGUGAGAAGCAUAUACCCAAACCUGCCACAAAUGGGACGAAAAUUUUACCACGGCAUGUUGAUGCCGCUCCACGAUAGCAUGCCAAGUUUCAUGAAUUUUAGAUGAGUUUUGGAUUCACUAGAAUUUAAAAACCAGGUAUCUCAAUGUUUGCGGCCGAGUGACCGUGGCAGGGUGCUUGACAUUCAUUCCCAUUUCAUGCAUGGGACCUAAGCAUGCAACCAAGGACACAGAUUUGAAUUUUCAACCAGUUUAUAUGCAUUAGAGCAUGUGCAUGUAGUUCAAAUUUGAAUUAUGCACAUAAAUGCAUUGAAAACUCAAUUAAUGCAUAAAAUGUCCAAACAAACCCCGAAAAAUCCCAAAAAUUGACACAACACUCUUGUUGUUCUGUGUUGACGCUAGGAAAAGACAUUGACAAAGAGAAAAGGCAAUGGAUAUCGUUUCGUCCAGAAAGGUGAAACGUUCCCUAUCGGAACCAUCAGGCUUGUUGUGAGAAGCUCUGGUUUGUGAGAAGCAUAUCCAUGAACCUACCCAAAAUGGGACAAAACAUUUACCACGGCAUGUUGAUGCUGCUCCAUGAUAGCAUGCCAAGUUUCAUGAAUUUCAGACGAGCUUUGGAUUUACUAGAAUUUAAAAACCAGGUAUCUCAAUGUUCGCGGCCGAGUGACGGUGCCAGGGUGUUUGACAUUCAUUUCCAUUUCUUGCAUGGGACCUAAGCAUGCAACCAAGGACACAGAUUUGAAUUUUCAACCAAUUUAUAUGCAUUAGAGCAUGUGCAUGUAGUUCAAAUUUGAAUUAUGCACAUGAAUGCAUUGAAAACUAAAUUAAUGCAUAAAAAUGUCCAAACGAACCCCAAAAAAUCACAAAAAUUGACACAACACUCCUGUUGUUCAACGUUGACACGAGAAUUUUUUUGAAAGCAAUAAGAGGCAAUGGAUAUCGCUUCGUCCCCAAAGAUGGGACGUUUCCUACCGAAACCAUCAUGCUUGUUGUGAGAAGCUCUGGUUUUUGAGAAGCAUAUACCCAAACCUGCCCCAAAUGGGACGAAAAUUUUACCACGACAUGUUGAUGCCGCUCCGCGAUAGCAUGCCAAGUUUCAUGAAUUUUAGAUGAGUUUUGGAUUUACUAGAAUUCAAAAACCAGGUAUCUCAAUGUUUGCGGCCGAGUGACGGUGGCAGCUGGGUGCUUGACAUUCAUUCCCAUUUCAUGCAUGGGACCUAAGCAUGCAACCAAGGACACACAUUUGAAUUUUCAACCAAUUUAUAUGCAUUAGAGCAUGUGCAUCUAGUUCAAAUUUGAAUUAUGCACAUAAAUGCAUUGAAAACUCAAUUAAUGCAUAAAAAUGUCCAAACAAACCCCGAAAAAUCCCAAAAAUUGACACAACACUCCUAUUGUUCUGUGUUGACGCUAGGAAAAAAUUGAAAUCGAGAAGAGGCAAUGGAUAUCGUUUCGUCCAGAAAGGUGAAACGUUCCCUAUCGAAACCAUCAAGCUUGUUGUGAGAAGCUCUGGUUUGUGAGAAACAUAUCCCUGAACCUGCCCCAAAUGGGAAAAAAAAUUUACCACGGCAUGUUGAUGCCGCUCCAUAACAGCACGCCAAGUUUCAUGAAUUUCAUACGAGCUUUGGAUUUACUAGAAUUUAAAAACCAGGUAUCUCAAUGUUUGCGGGCCCCAGGAACGGUUGAAGCCAUACCCAAUCAAAAAGGAUAUUAUCCAAACGCAUUUCAAGACGGUGGCAGGGUGUUUGACAUUCAUUCCCAUUUCUUGCAUGGGACCUAAGCAUGCAACCAAGGACACAGAUUUGAAUUUCAACUAAUUUAUAUGCAUUAGAGCAUGUGCCUGUAGUUCAAAUUUGAAUUAUGCACAUGAAUGCAUAGAAAACUCAGUUAAUGUAUAAAAAUGUCUAAGCGAACCCCCAAAAAUCCCAAAAUUUGACGCAACACUCAUGUUGUUCUAUGUUGACACUAGGAAAAAAAUUAAAAUCAAGAAGAGGCAACGGAUAUCGUUUCGUCCACAAAGGUGAAACAUUCCCUACCGAAACCAUCACACUUGUCGUGAGAAGCUCUGGUUUAUGAGAAGCUUAUACCCAAACCUGCCCCAAAUGGGACAAAAAUUUUACCACGGCAUGUUGAUGCCGCUCCAUGAUAGCAUGGCAAGUUUCAUGAAUUUCGAACGAAUUUUGGAUUUACUAGAAUUACAAAAGCAAGUACGUCAACGUUUGCCGGAGAGCCACGGCGCCGUGGUGUUUGAAUUUCAUCCCCAUUUCUUGCAUGUGACAUAAGCAUAAACCCAUGGACACAUAUAUGAUUUUACAACCCAUAUUGGUGCACCUGAGCAUGUGCAUGUAGUUUAAUUUUGAAUUGUGCACCUGAAAUGGCUAGAAAACCAAUUUAAUGUGUAAAAUGUUCAAACGAACCAUGAAUAAUUCCAAUUCUUUUACGACACACAUAUAGUUGCAUGUUCACUGCAGAUAAAAGGUCAAGCAAUUCAAACACCGUCCAUUGCCGCUGUGACCCCAUUAUGUAAUUCAAAUCAAGAUGAAAAAUCAAGUAGAUCCCACACAGUUUAUUAUCACCAACCGUGUGAGAUGGAGCACAAAAUAUCCUGGAGCACUGUCGGUGCCUAUGGCUUACGCGAGAAGGUGCGUCGGCUACAGUCCACAGCCGGCAUCUCAAGCACACUAGCUCGCUCCCCAAAUAUCAUUUCACUAUUCAAUCGUCGCCGGUGAAAGAUGGGCACGUGGACCCGCAUCAUGAGGGCAACUUCGGUGGCCCACUCCCGCGGGAACGCGGCCGCAGCCGCCAUGCGCGUGCUAACAAGGUGCAUGAGCACGGCCGCAAUCUGCGACCGGGCGGCCAAGGCAGCCCAAAUGGCCGUUGUUGCUUCUCAGGUGGCGGCAGCAACAUCUGCCUCGGGGAUAGCAACUGGCGAGAGCGGCACAUCAGCUAUCCGUUCCGCAGCGGCGACCUUAGCCCUAAUGGAGGCCGCUCACGACCAUGUCGAGGCCGCCCAUGCCCAGCUCGUGGCGGUCACCACACAAAUCGAACGAAGCUUCUCCGACAAUGGUCGGCAACCCACGGACGAAGAGUUGGCAAUCGCCGAGAGCGUUCGAGCAGCCGCCCGUUCCUCCGCCGCAUACCUUGCGACGAUGGAGCCCGUCCAAUCCUAGAUGAUGAGGACAUGACUACCUUGGAUACGACCAAAAAUAUUGCAUACAUGCAUAUUUGUCAGGUGAUUUCUAGUGCAAACUAUUCAAUAAUCUAUUUAUGUUAUCCAGAACGAAAAUACUUCACACACUUUUGUGUUUUGUCUAAUUGUAGGUGUAUGGGACAUUUGUACAAUCCACAUAUGAAGAUAGGGGAAAAGGAAAAGUUUAGGUUCUGUUCAAAAAGUCCUCUCACGUCACUUUUGGGCCAAGAGAAGAUAGAGUCCAAGUCUCUCACGUUCUGGAUCCAGAUUCGGACUGCACAGACAUACCUGACUCAAAACGCCAACAACUUUUUCAUACGGACUCCGAAUUGGGUGAUUCUUUUUUGUUGGAAAGUAGAUUUCGUCCUCUUUCCAACCCAAUUGGAUUCACCUUUAAAUUCAUCCGGAGCAUUGAGAUAUGGACGAAACAAUCUGAUGUUGCAGCAGAAUCCGAGUCAAACAACAAGUCCAAAGGUGUUGCAUCACCUCCACUUGGGCCCAUGAGCCUUGUACGACCUAGGGUUGGUUUUAGGCUGCCUUGGGACGUUCUCCCACCUCCUUGGCCGCCACCCCUUGCUCCUAUAUAAGUAGAUCCAUCUAGUAGCUUUUUCCUUGGGUUUUGUUUAGAUUAAAAGUUCGCCAUAGCUGCAACUUCGCGUACUUCGUUUGUGUUCAACGACCAGACAAAGGCGUCACAGAACCCCACGUUGAUCAAUAAAGCUUUCCUCUUAUAUUCGCAAUAUCCCGAUUGCAAUCUUAGUUUCUUGCUUGUUAUUCGUUUGCCUGCAGGAAACAGACCUUCGUGGUCAGGUUGAUCGUGCUCCGGCGUGGUCAAUAACCUCUCGGAGUUGGUUUAGCGAUUGCUAAGGCGCGACGUCCUCGCACGUUCAUAGUCGGAUCGUCAAAGUCGACUUCCUCCAAAAUGAUAGCCACCAUCUCAUCGAAAGACGGGACACCUUUGCCUCUAUCAAGUGGUAUCAGUUUUCAGGUUGCUCGGUGAGAAUUUCUAGUUUUUACUAGAUUAGAUUUAUUUUCCUACCUAUUGUCCAAGAAAAAGCCACACAAAAAAGUUAGAUCUAUUCAUCCUUUAUCCAAGCCAGUCUGAGCCUUUGCAAUUUUCUUUUCAUUGCUUGCUGCAUAGUUGAAUUAUCGGUUGCAUCGUCGUGUCGAGUUGCUGGUCUUAAUGUCUAGUUCGUUUAGAGUUUCGAGUUCUGUUCACAUUAGUCACGCCGCCGCUGCAUCAUUAUCCUUUCCGCUAUCCACCGCCCAUCCAUCAAUUUCCACCACGUGCUACCCACCAUUAAUUGUCAUAAUCAUAGUUGAGAUUGUUCACAUCUUCGCUUGAUCCAAUCUGCAUCUUAUCUAGUUUGUUUUGGAAAUAGGGAGAGAGAGAAAAAAAGAGAAUAAAAAAGAGAGAAAAAAAGUAAAAAAAAAGUCAAAGAAAAAAAAGAGGGAAAGAAAAAGAAAAAGUGUGAGGGAAAAAAAGAAAAAAU
rnacentral:lncRNA from 1 species